UGGCGGAGUGGAGCAGUUGGUAGCUCGCAAGGUUCAUACCCUUGAGGUCGUUGGUUCAAGUCCAACCUCCGCAA
rnacentral:tRNA from 1 species